AUCUUGUUUUUCUACAGCUCUUGUAGCCUACGGAACGGAGAUGUUUGUUUUAAUCUGUUUAGUUGAUCAAAGAUUAUGCUGACAAAACCAGGAGGGACAGCAAUGCUGAAGGGGUAUGAAGACACUGGGACAAUGAAGAAGGCAGAUGUCCUGUUAUCAGGGAGCCUGCUGAAAGGAAGAAAAUACAGAAGAUCAGCGCAGCUCACACCAUUGAACAUCUGGUUGUAUUUCACAAGUCCUGUAGGAGCCUAGAUGAGUACCUGGAGACGAAGGAAGACGGCAGCCAUACCUACUCACCUCAGGAUCCAGCAAGCAGGCCAUCAGCAACUUCUACAUUGUCAUGUAGAAUUAUUGGCAGCAUUUGACUACAUUUUCAAAGCUAAUCUUGAUUUCAAUGUAAGCUACAAUGAGUUAAUCAGCAACAUGAACACAUUUCUCCAGACAACAGUCUACAGCAUUGAUUUUGGCAACACAAGAGAGAGCCCUAAAUCUGGGACCUUGUCGGACCCCCCUUUGCCUCCAGAAAAUGAUUAAUUUUUCAGGCCAGUCUAACGGUUUUGACUUGAAGUUAUUAUUUAUAGGGGUGCCAGGUAGGUUGUGCCUACCAGAGAAAACAUUGGUUUCUCCUUUUAGUUUGAGACGGUCACUGAGACGGUUCAGAAUAAUUCAGGGCCGUCACAAGUCUUACAAGUUGUCCAAGGAGAUGUUGGCCCAUGCUGACGCAAUUGCAUCACGCGGUUGCUACAGAUUGGACGGUGGUACAUUAAUGCUGCGAACAGCCCAUUCCAUCUCAUCCCGAAGAUGUUCUAGUCUAAUGGGUUGAGGUCUGGGAACUGCGCAAGCCACUCAAAUAAACUGAACUCGCUUUCAUGUUCCAGGCAAUGUUUUUCCACUCUUCAGUUGUCCAGUGUUGGUGAUCGUGUGCCCACUGGAACCACUUCUUCUUGUUUUUAGCUUAUAGGAGUGGAACUCGGUGUGGUCAUCUGCUGCAAUAGCCCAUCCGUGACAAGGAUUUGUCUGUGGCCCGCCUGUUAGCUUGCAAAGUUCACAUUUUUUUCAGCCUAUGUAUUGCUAUAUUGCUCUACAACCAGUUAAUUCAUAUACCUUGCGACUGUGAUAUAUAGGCCUGAAGAGCAAGACAAUAAGAAGACCCAGUGGCAGAAUAAAUUCAACCACUUCUUUGUUUUAGCACAAAACCGGAUAGGGAUGGGAUGAGAUGGGAUGAGAUGGAAUGGGCUGUUCUCUGUUCAGUGAAGUCCACAAAGCAUAUUGCAUGUAUAAUAACAGACAGUUAAUCACCCACAGCAUGGUCAAGCAAGUUCAUGUUUCCGCCAUUUUAAGACCACUAAACAGCUAUUGAUUGAGAACCACAGAGAGUUACCGCAAGUUAUUCCGGCACCAUUUCAACUUCAACACCAUGAAAUCACAUUGGUACAUUUUCUUUAUGCUUCUUUGUCAAGGGAGGCCAGAUUCCUUCUGGCAGCAACAAUGUCAUACUCGUUUGGAGCAGACAGCAUCAGAUAGAUGGCCUACACGUAGAGCGACAAAGGGGCCCUGUUUCGCUUGCUCGGAUGAUUUCUCCUGUGAGAUACAUUCAGCCUAUUUGAAUUAAAGGAAAAUUAUGAAACGUAGACAGACAAAAGACAAGUAAUUGUGUGUUUUUUUGUGUGAUUGAUAUUUUUUGGGGGGUUUACUGGCUUCCCUUUGCAUCCAUGAAUGCACACCACUGUGCAGCUGGCACAUUAAUUUGGCAAAUUAAGUUUUUGCAUGGCUUGUAUCCUGGAAUAAUUUUGUUUGAUAUGUGCUCAAGAUGGAUGUUCAUUGCAAUUCAAAAGUUUUGCACAUUUUAGAAAGCACUUGAUAAAAAACUAUGAGAAUGAUAUUCAGCAUCAUCAAGUAAUGAUGGCAACACGCCCACAACUCCACAAUCUGAGAAUGUGAUUGAAGAGACCUCGCAAGAGAGUGACUCUGAUUCAGACCUCAAUUUGUCCAUCAACCUGCAAUGUCUCAUAUCUCAAAAGACCAGUCUAAAGAAAUGUGUGCAUCUAUUAUUGCUAAGUUACAGGGCAGUGGUGUUGCUAAGAAUGUUGUACUGUCUAUUGUUGAAAGCACGGAAGAGUAUGUGAAUGAAGGUCACAGAGAAGUCUCAGGGAACAAGUAUUGAGUGUGGUCCCUCCUAACAAUCCCAGUAGAAGCUCAGUAGAAUAAGUUUUUAACAAUGUGCAUAAUCCUUUCACUGACUUAAACACAGAUGCUAAAUAUGUGAAGUAUUUCAGAGAAAAAUGUGGGGUUGUCGAACCUCUGGAAGUGCACUUAGAAGUGAGAUAUGAUUAAAAGACAAACAAAGUAACUGGAAUGAAUGAGGAUGAAUGAAAUCACAUUCAGAUGUCUUUUCAUAGUGGCAUGAAUCAUGAUUUUUCUGAUGGAAAGUACGACCGAAACCAUCCAUUGUAUUCAAAGUAUGAAAAUGACCUGCAAAUUCAAGUUUAUUAUGAUGACUUUGAAACUGUAAACCCAUUAGGGUCUAAACAUGGCAUUCAUAAACUUGAUGUCUAUAUUUCACUCUCCAUAAUUCUCCACCACCCCAGAAUUAAUCUCUGCUGAAUAUCCAUCUUAUUGCAUUGUUCCACUCUCAAGAUGGGAAGAAGUAUGGCAUUGACAGAAUUCUAAGUCCAUUUGUUGAAGAUGUAAAAGUAUUGGAACAGAGUGGAUUGAAAGUGUUGUUCACUGAUAAAUCUACUAUGGUACCAUUGCACAGAUUACGUGUGACAAUUUAUGUUUAAAUUGCAUUCUUGGUUAUGUGGAACCUUUCAGUGCCAACUACUACUGCAGGAUGUGCCUCACUGACAAGGUCACGGCUCAGGGGGUAGUCAGUCCGCACCAAAACAUUGAAUGAGGGGCAUUACAUCUUGCUUAGAAUCCAGGUGACAGUUCUUGUUGCAGAAUCAAACACAACAGUUUAGUCAAUUCCUUGACAUCAAUGUAUCAGAUAACUCGUAAUUCAUUCUGAAAAUGUAAUUCAUUAUGUUGGACAUAAUGAAUUACAUUUUAGAGGGUGUAGGACAGUAUGAGAUCAAGCUGCUCUUUGAAUAUUUAGUAAGAACUUUCCAAUGAAAACAUUAUUAAAUGAGUUUAUACAUUCAGCUAUGGCUAUAUGGACAAAAAUAACCACAAGACAAAGUUAAGCCUACAACACAGCGGUAAUGGCAUCGGGAUUAAUGCCAGUCGAACAAUGUCUUUUAUGAGGAACAUUCAUCUAAUAUUUGGUGAUGUUGGUCCCAGAAGGAGAUAGACACUGGCAUUUGAUGUUGCUGCUGUUGGACAUCUUCAACAUGUAUUUUCUCCCAGCAUCACUGAGGGGAUGACUGUAUUUUUUAAGCAUGUUAUCCCAGAGCAUCAUAUAUUGUUUACAGAGUUAGUUGUAUCCGCUGAAUUAUCUGAUUACGAAGCAUCACUUCAUGAUCCACUAGCCAGAAUCUAUACGAGAAAUUGGUCCAUUGGUACAUGUUUCAGGUCUAGCAUGAAACAUUUAAAGAAUGUAACCAAAUCCCUCGCUAGUAAACACCAAGUGGUCAUUGCAUAUCAUUGAGAAUUAGUCUGGGCAUUUCAAAACUCAAAUGUUGAAUGACAUUGAAAAUUUAAAAUUGAUCUCAGAGAAUUUUCAGUUUGAUGUGUCCUGUUCAAUAUGGGUCACACCCUAGUCGUGUGAUGGUAUUGAGUAUUGCACUGGCCUUGUCUGUUCAAAUGUAGUGGGUGAGAGGCCUGUGUUCAGUAAGAUUGUUGGCAUAUACAGUACAAGUCAAAAGUUUGGACAAACCUACUCAAAAAAGGGUUUUUCUUUAUUUUUGCUAUUCUCUACAUA